rnacentral:rRNA from 1 species
GGAAGAGCCCAAGAUUGAAAGCUGGCGUCUUCGGCGUCCGCAUUGUAAUCUCAAGAAGUGUUUUCCGCUUCGGACCAAGCCUAAGUCCCUUGGAAAAGGGCAUCAUAGAGGGUGAUAAUCCCGUACAUGGCUUGGAGCGCCCGAAGCUUUGUGAUACGCUUUCUAAGAGUCGAGUUGUUUGGGAAUGCAGCUCAAAAUGGGUGGUAAAUGCCAUCUAAGGCUAAAUAUUGGGGAGAGACCGAUAGCGAACAAGUACAGUGAUGGAAAGAUGAAAAGAACUUUGAAAAGAGAGUUAAACAGUACGUGAAAUUGCCAAAAGGGAAGGGUAGGAGGUCAGAGAUGCGGCCUGGGAUUCAGCCUUGCUUUUGCUUGGUGUUUUUCCCAGAUUGCAGGCCAACGUCGGUUUUGGGCACUGGAG